AAUAUCGCAGUAAGCAGACUGGAAAUAUUUGUACUGCAAAUUGAUAUGCUUCAUAUGAAUGGAUGGAUGUUUCUGAGAACUGCUUAUAAAUUGUCCAAGUUCUAUGGAUUUGUCAAGAAUUUAUGCUGGAAUGAGUGACUUAUGCUUACAGUGCUCCCUAAGGAAUUAGAGGUGGGAAAAGAAAGGGAGCUCAGAAAAGGAGCCAGUUGCAUCUAUCCUUCUUGUGGCUUUCCA